AUACGUAGGUGGCAAGCGUUGUCCGGAUUUAUUGGGUUUAAAGGGUGCGUAGGCGGCCCUGUAAGUCAGUGCUGAAAUAUUCCAGCUUAACUGGGAGGGUGGCAUUGAUACUGCGGGGCUAGAGUACAGAUGAGGUAGGCGGAAUUGACGGUGUAGCGGUGAAAUGCUUAGAUAUCGUCAAGAACACCUAUAGCGAAGGCAGCUUACUAGGCUGUAACUGACGCUGAGGCACGAAAGUGUGGGGAUCAAACAGG
rnacentral:rRNA from 1 species